rnacentral:tRNA from 1 species
AAAAGCAUAGUGUAAUCACACUUGACUUCGAAUCGAGGAAAGAAGCUUUUA